GAAUCUUUGAACGCACCUUGCGCCCUUUGGUAUUCCGAAGGGCACACCUGUUUGAGUGUCGUGA
rnacentral:rRNA from 1 species